rnacentral:sRNA from 1 species
UCUUCGAGAGGGGUGAAGCACUCUCUGAAUAUCAUACUAUAAAGGUGCAAUUUUGUAACGUUCCUGAACCAAAAAAUCGGUUAGGGUUUGUGUUUAAAUCUCCCGGUUAAAUAAGUUUGGUUAAUGGAUACCAUAGAGUGUGCCUAUAAAAAAAGGAAACUCAAAAUUAGGGCUUUAGUUAACCACUUUGUAUUCUGUAAAGGAGAAAAAGAGAGAGAAGAAGAAGGACUAGAAUCGUUAGGGUUUGGCAAGAAACAGUUUCGACAUAUCAAAUCUUUGUCAAAGGUAACGAAAUUUGGUAGAUUUAUUUCCAAGUCUUUCAUCGUCAUUCUAUAGUUUACAGAAACGGAUUUGGAUUUAAACUUCUUGAGUUAAUCGCAGUUUCGUAAGACAUGUUUUCUCAAACGUGAGUUAGGACCAGCGGAGAUUGUAACUGAGAUCGUGGUCUUGUCUCGUUUUUGAUCGGCACGAGAGUUCGUGAUCGUGGAAUCAUGGCAAGGAAGAGAGGAUGAUCUAGGAACUCUUUUGAGCUCAUUUAAAAGUGAUGCUUACAGUGCCACAAUUGAGCAGAGUGUGGGUUCGCAGCCUGAGUUUGUGGAGGCCGGAGCUGGGAACGGUCUUGGUGCCGAUAUAGCUGGUGCAGCCCGAGUGGCGCUAGUGGAGCUAGUGUCGGUGCAUGUGUGCAUGCCGUUGGUGCUCAGGUCCCAGGAGUGAUGGGUACCGCAGCCGGAGGAGCCCAAGUUCCAGAGAUUGGCUUGGCGGGAGUACUAAGGCAGUUGUUGGAGCGUUUACCAAGUGUAGUACCAGUGCAGGCUCCAGUUGUGCCACAAGUGGUGGAGGUGCAGCAAAGGGCUGCGGUUGCUGAGAAAGUUCCAUCUUAUUUGAGGAUAAUGGAGCAGUUGUAAAGGAUUGGCACCGGGUAUUUCUCUGGUGGUGCUAGUCCUGAAGAGGCCGACAGUUGGCGGUCGCGAGUUAAGCGGAACUUCAGUUCGAGCAGAUGCCUGAUGGAGUAUCGGGUGGACCUGGCAGUGCAUUUUCUAGAGGAGGAUGCACAUUUGUGGUGGAAGAGUGUGACUGCCAGGAGGAGGCAGGCGGAUAUGUCUUGGGCAGAUUUUGUGGUUGAGUUUAAUGCAAAGUACUUUCUGCAGGACGAGCUCGACCGUAUGGAGGUGCGUUUUCUUGAGCUAACACUGGUUGAGCGGUCGGUUUGGGAGUAUGACCGGGAGUUUAACCGAGUCUUGGUGUAUGCGGGUUGGGGCAUGAAGGAUGGUCAAGCCGAGUUAAGGAGGUUCAUGAGGGGACUUCGACCGGAUCUGAGAGUGCGGUGUAGAAUGUCACAGUAUGCCCUGAAGGCAGCAUUGGUGGAGACGGCUGCUGAGGUAUAGGAGGAUCUUCAGAGGUAGGUUGUGGCAGUGAGUCCAGCGGUACAGCCGAAGAAGACUCAGCAGUAGGUGGCACCUAGAAAAGGCGGCAAGCCUAUGCAGGGGAAGAAGAGGAGCUGGAAUCAUCUUUCUAGAGCUGGACAGGGUGGUCGUGCGGGAUGUUUUUCUUGUGGGAACCUUGCCCACAAGGUGGCAGAUUGCAAGUAGCGAGUUGAGACGAGAGAGUGCUACCAUUGUUGGGGGAGGGGACAUCUCAUGCCGAAUUGUCCUAAGCUCCAGUGGAUGGCAAUGGCAGUAGUAUAGCCACCGGUGUAGCGGGGAGUGCAACAGAAUGUGCAGCAGUUGGCACAUAUUCCAGCGGCACCACAAUGCUACAAUACGUUUGAGGCAGGCGGUACCAGCACCGGAGUGAUCACUGGUAUGAUUUCUGAGACUCAAACUUUGUGAAUGAUUUCUUUUGUUUUGGAUAUCAUUGCUUAAUGAUGAAUGUUAGGGUUCUUAGCACAUGAGAUAUGUGUAGGUACCUUAUUGGUGGGCGGUGUAGAGGCUCAUGUGUUGUUUCACUCAGGAACAUCGCAUUGCUCCAUUACCCUGGAGAGUGCCUCGCACAGCAACAUCCGUGGAGAUCCUGGUGAGCAGUUUGGAGCCGUUAAGGGUACCAAAGGACAUUUUCUAGCGGUUCUAGGAGAGUUAAGGGUGUGGAAAUUCAUAUUGCGGUGGAGUCGAUGCCAGCAAAUCUGAUUAUCAGCCAUGUAGAACUAUAUUAUGUUAUUUUGGGGAUGGAUUGGUUGGAUCAUUACAGAGUACAUCUUGACUGCCCCCGUGGGAGAGUUUCUUUUGAGCGGCGAGAGGGAGGUUGGUUUAUCAGGGAGUGAGACCUACCUCAGGGAGUCUAGUCAUCUCAAUAGUGCAGGUAGACAAGAUGAUCGAGAAGGGCUAUGAGGCUUACCUGCUGACAAUAUUUAUGCAGGUAGCAGUGAGCAACAUUCGGGUUGUUUAGGAGUUCGAGGAUGUAUUUCAGUCGGCGCCAAAUUUGAUAUAGCUCCAAUUGGCUUAAGCUUACUCCCUCAAAUAAGAGAUCGUCGUUAGCACUUAAGGGUCGAAUUCCACAAAGCUGUCGAUGUUCACGCAAUAAACUUAUGAAGA